CACCAGCCCCUCGAGUGGUGGGGAUGAUUAUUUGGCCUAAAGCGUCCGUAGCCGGCCGGGUAAGUUUCCCGUUAAAUCCAGCGUCUCAAGCGUUGGACUGCGGGAAAUACUGCCUGGCUAGAGAGUGGGAGAGGUCAGCGGUAUUCUGGGGGUAGGGCGAAAUCCUUUGAUCCCCGGAGGACCACCAGUGGCGAAGGCUGCUGACUAGAACACGUCUGACGGUCGGGGACGAAAGCUGGGGUAGCGAACCGGAUUAGAUACCCGGGUAGUCCCAGCCGUAAACGAUGCAUGCUAGGUGUUGGGUUGCCACGAGCCACCCCAGUGCCGCAGGGAAGCCGUUAAGCAUGCCGCCUGGGAAGUACGAUCGCAAGAUUGAAACUUAAAGGAUUAGGGCGGGGAGCACCACCAGGCGUGAAGCCUGUCGGUUU
rnacentral:rRNA from 1 species